rfam:Arabidopsis lyrata subsp. lyrata unplaced genomic scaffold ARALYscaffold_1, whole genome shotgun sequence.
UAUAAAGUCUCCAUGUUUUUUCAUUGUUUCUUGUUUUUUUCAAGAUUAUGAUUUUUGUUUAAUUACAAUCAUAAUCUUGAAACGAACAAGAAACUGAUGAAAAACAUGAGGACUUUAUA